rnacentral:rRNA from 1 species
GACGAACGCUGGCGGCGUGCUUAACGCAUGCAAGUCGAACGGAAAGGCCCUGCUUGCAGGGUGCUCGAGUGGCGAACGGGUGAGUAACACGUGGGUAAUCUGCCCUUCACGUCGGGAUAAGCCUGGGAAACUGGGUCUAAUACCGGUUAGGAGCCAUUGUGAGUGUGAUGGUUGGACAGUUCUUUCGGUGUCGGAUGAGCUCGCGGCCUAUCAGCUAGUUGGUGGGGUAAUGGCCUACCAAGGCGGCGAUGGGUAGCCGGCCUGAGAGGGUGGACGGCCACAUUGGGACUGAGAGACGGCCCAGACUCCUACGGGAGGCAGCAGUGGGGAAUAUUGCACAAUGGGCGCAAGCCUGAUGCAGCGACGCCGCGUGGGGGAUGACGGCCUUCGGGUUGUAAACUCCUUUCGCUAGGGACGAAGCUUUUUGUGACGGUACCUAGAGAAGAAGCACCGGCUAACUACGUG